CACCUGGCUGAUUUUUUUUUUUUCAAUUUUUAGUGGAUGUGGAGUCUCAAUAUGUUUCCCAGGCUGAUCUUCAACUCUUGGUCACAGCCUUCCUGCCUCGGCCACCCAAAGCACUGGGAUUACAGGCAUGAGCCACUGGCCCUGGCCCUGUUGUAGCGAAUUAAUGAACCGUAGGAGGAGUGUGGGUCGCUAAGUGCCCCUGGGACUGAGGACCCUCAUCUGAGGUCAGGAGUGGAGUGAGGGGCUGAAAGUUCCAACUCUCUAAUCAUGGCGUGAUCUUUCUGAUGACCAGCUGCUAGUCUGAAGCUGUCUAGGGGCCCUCCAAGGGUCACCUCAUUAGUAUAAACUCAGUGCUUUCCCCACACAGCAGCCCAAGUGAUCUUAAAAAAAAAAAAAGAAAGAAAAGGAUCACAUCACUCUAUUUCAGAUAGUUCUCAGAAAUAAAGUGUGUAGGAGGUAGAGUCCUGGCCCCCAAAGCUGUCUACGUCCUAAUUCUGGUACCUGUGAAUAUGUAACCUCAUAUGGCAACAGGAACUUCGCAGAGUCUACCUCCCCCCACAGAUAACCUCCUCUGCUGGAAUUAGGGCAGAGGCCCAUUGCCAGAACAGUGCCUGGCCCAUCGAAGGUGCAAAUAGUCCAUGGGAUGACUGUGAACCAUUUUGGUUGUGGAGGAAGUAACACCAGCGAAGUGCCAUGGUGAAAUAAAACAAGCUUUGAUAUAGAGGGUGUGUAGGUGGCUUGUGUGGUUAAGAAGAGUGAUUUAUUCUUGAGAUAGUGUCAGUCUUAUAAAUAGAAGGUUGUACUGUUACCGAAAGUUCGGCAUUGUCCCCGAGGCCACAUUAGAAGAGCAAGGACAAGUGGUUUGAGGAGAAGGCAAGAAAAGUUUAUUAAUUUGUUGGCAAAUGAGGAAAAUGGCAGAUUCACGUCUCAAAGUACCAUUGUUCUCUCUAUAAGGAGAAACAGAGUUUUAAAGGGAGUUUUCAUCUUGGGGCUGUUGUUGUUUAACCAUAUUUGAUGGUCUUGAUUGACUCCAUUUCCUGUGAAGACAAUCUUGUGACCCCUCUCCGGACAAUUCCAUUGAGUCAUUUUCUGUGGUAUAAAAUAAUAACACUCCCCUGUCCCUCUGAUUACUGGCCUCAGACGGGGAUGCAGGUUUUAGUUCCCAAAAAGGGUGAGGAGGUUUUAAAGAGACAGCUCGUAAAACAUUUUAUCUUUUUUUAUAGGCUGUUACCUCUGUUAUGUAUUUCCCACUGUCAGUUUUAUCCUUUCAUAUCUAUGGGUGGAGGGGCAGCGUAGUCAUUGAGUUAUUUUCUGUUGAGUUGGGGCAAUGUUUUAAAUGGAAGGUUUAUACUUAAUUUAUGUCAUGGUAAAGUUUUGACAGUAGAUUUAUGAAAAUACGAAUGCAGCAGAUUACCAGGUGAAAAAGGGCAUGAGCAACAACUACAACCGUGAGGAUUGACAAGGUGAAAUGGAGGAGGAUACCUGAUAGCGAUUUUACCCCCCCUGGUAUCUAAGACACCAGUUGGACUGUGAGUCCUUCCUGUCACCUUGCACACAAUGUCUGAUACAGGGCUGGGAAACAUGGGACCUCUGAGUGUGGAGUUAUUGGCUGUACCCUGUAGGUGAUCCGAGAGACUGGCUUCUUUAGAUUUAGAAAUCAUGUACAGGAAUACUUGUACCGAACGAGGUUUAGAUGACAAACCCAGCAGUGAGACAGAUCUGUAGAAGAGGUAAUAGCCCAGGGGAAUCUUCAUUGAAGAGUUAUCUCUCCGUCUUAUAGACAGAACAAAAACCAAAGAAAGGUUAGCGAAAAUAUCAACAUUUUUCUUUUUAUUUUAUUUUAAACAGCUAUUUUAGAUACUCUAAAAGUUGGUCCAUCCACUGGGGGCUUGGGUCCUCUUUUUUUAUAGGAUGCUUCUUUACUCUGGUGUGAUGGGCCCAAGGUACUUUAUGGGGUCUCUUUUACUUUUCUGUUUUUAACAGGGUUGGGGAACUGAAAGAGACAAACUUACAUAUAAUGGUUAGUAUCUGAGUUUGUUGUAAAUGGGAUCCUCUUAAAUGAGGUCCCACCAAAUCCAUUAAGGUAUCACACCUUUAAUGUGUGUAUUUAUGUAGGUGCCUUAUAAGGGGCCGAACCAAGGCUUUGGGUAGGAGAAUGAGUUCGUGAGAAUUUUAUGAAUAUAUAAUUUAAAUUUCUUUUGUAAGUCAGGCUACCCCAAAGUGGGGGCAGUCAUAAGACUCUGUUUCAGUUGUUUCAAGGCAUUUUGACAGUCUGUGGGUCAGAUCAGGGGCUCCACAUCUAUGCCUGUAGGAGUCCUCUACAAGGGCUUUGUUAUUAGUCCAAAGUUUGGGAUUCAGAUGUGACAGAAUCCUGUUAUUUUUAGGAACCCAUGUAGUUGCCAAGGUAAAUAACCUGUUGUUUGUAAAUCUGUCUGAUUGUAGGUUUCUCAGGCUGCCUGCUGAGCUCUCAUUAAACAGGGCAGGAGAGCCCUUUUCAACAGUCCAGCAGUGCUGUGAGGCCACCCUGGUCCCAGGAUCCUGUCAUUUAAAUGUGACUGAGUACUAUUUGUAGUCACUUAUACAGCAUCAUUGAUGGCACAUAGGUCUGGUAUGAAUCUGUGUUCACUGGUAUGGGGAAUUAAAAUGUUUUUGGUGCA